rnacentral:rRNA from 1 species
UACGGGGGGAGCAAGCGUUGUUCGGAUUUACUGGGCGUAAAGGGCGCGUAGGCGGCCAGCACAAGUCAGUUGUGAAAUCUCCGGGCUUAACUCGGAAAGGUCAACUGAUACUGUGCGGCUAGAGUGCGGUAGGGGAGACUGGAAUUCCUGGUGUAGCGGUGAAAUGCGUAGAUAUCUGGAGGAAUACCGGUGGCGGAAGGCGGACGA